rnacentral:rRNA from 1 species
UGGGGGAUAUUGCACAAUGGGCGAAAGCCUGAUGCAGCGACUCCGCGUGGGGGAUGAAGGCCUUCGGGUUGUAAACUUCUUUUGCUCUGAACAAGGCAUGCUAAUGGGUGUGUUGAGUGUAGGGGUUGAUUAGCGCCGGCUAACUACGUGCCAGCAGCCGCGGUAAUACGUAGGGCGCGAGCGUUGUCCGGAAUUAUUGGGCGUAAAGGGCUUGUAGGUGGCUGGUUGCGUCUGUCGUGAAAGCUCAUGGCUUAACUGUGGGUUUGCGGUGGGUACGGGCUGGCUUGAGUGCAGUAGGGGAGGCUGGAAUUCCUGGUGUAGCGGUGGAAUGCGCAGAUAUCAGGAGGAAUACCGGUGGCGAAGGCGGGUCUCUGGGCUGUUACUGACACUGAGGAGCGAAAGCAUGGGGAGCGAACAGG